rnacentral:rRNA from 1 species
GGGUCAGUAGGUUGGUCAGGCCACCGGUACGUACUGGUCUCACUGAUUCCUCCUUCCUGAAGAACCGUAAUGCCAUUAAUUUGGUGUUGCGGGGAAACAGGACUGCUACUUUGAAAAAAUUAGAGUGUUUAAAGCAAGCUAACGCUUGAAUACAUUAGCAUGGAAUAAUGAAAUAGGACGAUCGAUCCUAUUUUGUUGGUUUCUAGGAUUGACGUA